GUGACGGUACCUGGAUAAGAAGCACCGGCUAACUACGUGCCAGCAGCCGCGGUAAUACGUAGGGUGCGAGCGUUGUCCGGAAUUACUGGGCGUAAAGAGCUCGUAGGUGGUUUGUCGCGUCGUUUGUGUAAGUCCACGGCUUAACUGUGGGAUGGCAGGCGAUACGGGCAUAACUUGAGUGCUGUAGGGGAGACUGGAAUUCCUGGUGUAGCGGUGAAAUGCGCAGAUAUCAGGAGGAACACCGAUGGCGAAGGCAGGUCUCUGGGCAGUAACUGACGCUGAGGAGCGAAAGCAUGGGUAGCGAACAGGAUUAGAUACCCUGGUAGUCCAUGCCGUAAACGGUGGGCGCUAGGUGUGAGUCCCUUCCACGGGGUUCGUGCCGUAGCUAACGCAUUAAGCGCCCCGCCUGGGGAGUACGGCCGCAAGGCUAAAACUCAAAGGAAUUGACGGGGGCCCGCACAAGCGGCGGAGCAUGUGGAUUAAUUCGAUGCAACGCGAAGAACCUUACCUGGGCUUGACAUACAUCAGAUCGCUGCAGAGAUGUAGUUUCCCUUUUGUGGUUGGUGUACAGGUGGUGCAUGGUUGUCGUCAGCUCGUGUCGUGAGAUGUUGGGUUAAGUCCCGCAACGAGCGCAACCCUUGUCUUAUGUUGCCAGCAUUUGGUUGGGGACUCAUGAGAGACUGCCGGGGUUAACUCGGAGGAAGGUGGGGAUGACGUCAAAUCAUCAUGCCCCUUAUGUCCAGGGCUUCACACAUGCUACAAUGGUCGGUACAACGCGUUGCGACACUGUGAGGUGGAGCGAAUCGCUGAAAGCCGGUCUUAGUUCGGAUUGGGGUCUGCAACUCGGCCCCAUGAAGUCGGAGUCGCUAGUAAUCGCAGAUCAGCAAUGCUGCGGUGAAUACGUUCCCGGGCCUUGUACACACCGCC
rnacentral:rRNA from 1 species